AAGAAAUGCAGGAAGGUAGGAUGAUGUCUGUAUAGUGCAAAAACCCUUUUGCAAAUAAACCCCUGGAAGAAAAGAAUUUCAAAAAUUCUUUCUUCCCUUUUUCUUUUUCUUUCUUUUCCUCUUUCUUCCCGUUUCCUUUUUCUCUCUUUUACAGGCUACUCAAAAGAUCAUGAAUCUCCCCUCUCCCCAGAUAAAAUCUCUAGCUCAGAAUGAAGAGAAAGCUAGCCUAUUUAUAGGCAAAGACAAGGCUGAACUAGGGAAGAGAAAACGCCAAAAGGGAAGAGUGAACGCCAAACGUUUCAUGAUUUGAUUGAAUUUUUUGAACCGUUUGAUUUCAAUUAAAUCAGUCCUAUAUUAAAGAGGUUUCAAAACCGAAGAGACACGUCUCUUCGGAUCUUCAAAUGGUAGCCGAAAGAGGGAAGAUCAAGCGGCCUUCGAUGUGUUCGGAAGAAGAAGAAGAACGCGGUCCACCGGAGAAGGUUUGCAGAAAAAAAAAUUGGUCCACUGGACCGAGGAAGAAACCAGAACCAAAAACGUGUCAUUCAAAUAGAGGGGCAAACAAGUAAAUUUUCAAAUCAAAUUUGAUUUUUCUUAAAUGGGUUAAUUCAAAUGGGCUGAAUCAAAUGGGCUUGGGUCCAUUAUUGGUUCUAAACCAAAUUGAAGACCAAUUUGAAAGAUUUUGGAUCCGAAAAAUU
rnacentral:lncRNA from 1 species